CUCUCUUCUGUGUCUCUCCACGUGUUUAAUCAGUUAAAGUAGUGCUUCUGCAUGUCCUCACCGUGGAAGAAUCGAGCAACUCCACCGCUUAACCUUGGGUAGCUUCUUCGUUCCGACUAAUUAUUAGUCGCCGAUAUCCCCGUCCUCGCUCAUCCACGGUUUCUGGAAAACCACCACCGUCCCUCCACCACCUCCUCCUUCUCUCGGCGCUCUCUUUCCACAGAUCGAAGACUGCAAGCGGGCGGCGGCGCGGUCUGCGUGAUGGCUAUGGAGCAAGACGGAGUUUAGCUCCGUCGGCGCAUAGGAAUCUUGCAGGCGCCACCAGACGUGGCCUCCAUGAGAAGGCAGCGCGGCAGGCGAUGAGGACGCAAGGAUGGAGAAGUACUGAGGGAGGGUGGCUCUACGCGGCGGCGGCCAGCAGGGGUCCGUGGGCGAGCAGCCCGGUGGUGGUGCGCGGCCAGCUCAUGGAUGUGGCGCUUGAACCGUGUGUUCCGCAUCGGAGGGAUUGACCAUAGCGGUUGGAUGCAGCGCGAGUGGCCGCUAGGAUGAGCGGAGGCGAGCGGCCGACACUCCGCCAGGGAUGACCGGCGCCGAGCGGUGGUGCCAACGCCGCUGCAUUGUAUCGUGGUGCACACCACCGUCCCGCUCCCCUUGACCCGUCCAGUCUGGCUGCCUGAAUCUCAGAUGCCCCGGUCUCACCGUUGCGGCGCCCCGCCCCCUCUCGACGUACGCGCCCGCUGCCGAUUUGAUGAGCUGAGGAUCUGCUCACCGUCGAGUCCACCUGGGCGCAACUCCGAUGUGUCAGCCUCGCCGUCGCGGCGCCCUGCCUCCUCUCGGCGUACGCGCCCGCAACCAAUUUUAUGAGGUAAGGAUCUGCUCACCACGUGGGAUCACGACCUGCUCGCUGUCUUCUGCCUCGGCGCCACGGCGAGCUCGCACUCGCGGAGGAUGCCGUACGGGAGAUGUCAUGUGCCGGUCUCCGCGUCGAUCCCACCACGGCUCACGGGCGAGGCCUGCUUGUGCCGCUUCAUCCCGCAGAUGGAGGCGGCUGUGGGCCAGCUGAGGAGGUCCGGCCUCCUCGCCCAUCAGCGUUGUUGCAUCGCGCAUGUCUCCGGCUGGAGGUAAUACACGCUCAGCAAGUUCGCGAGCGGCGUUCGACUCAGCGACGGAGCAACGGGAACCUGCUUCGUAACCUCCUCUUCGUAUCCGAAGAAUGGUCUUGCCCAGGACAUGUUCGUUCGAAUAGCCAGCAAGUUGGGCAUGGAUGAUUCCUGGGUGAGUUGGUCUGAUUCGCUUGGAUCAGAGGUAGUUCCAAAUCUGAUACAGAGCUGGGAAUUAUUUUUAACUUUUUUUGAUCUGGUUGAAUACUUGUUUUCUGUAUGAAGGAGAUAAGACGCAAUAAUGCUUUCUGUCAGCUAUCUUGAGUUCUGAUCGAAGGUGUAGGAUCGACUAAAACAACGAUAGGAAGACACACACCGAAGAGGGGCAUAAUUAUGUUGUUGUGUCAUCACCAUUUUAUCUGCUUAUAGUGGUUUUUGUUUCAUAGAUAGUUUUCUUUUUGUAAGAAAAAUCAAACACGAUAAGGGAUUCUUUUGGCUCUUUGUAGGUACAGUACAUGCUGCAGCACUCAGUUGUAGUUCUCCCUUGGUACUUUAGUUAUGGCAGUUUGGUUAGAAUGCGGUCAAUUGUUCUUAAAAGUUUUGAAGUGGUGUGCAUAUAGCACAUAUGCUUAUCUGGUUCUUAAUCUAAGCAGUAGAUUUAUCUGGAUUUUUUUUAUGUAUCCUCCUGUUGGUUGAUCAGAUGGAGGACAACUUGGUAUUUAUUUUUUGAUUUAGCUGCUCUUUCUUUACUGCACGACUCUAAAAAAUCCACUAGCCAUGUGACUCUGCCUUGGCUUUUUCUUUCAGCUUAGGAUCUUCGUGGAUUGCAAGGUUUUCAUUAAGGAUUUCGAUCCUUUACUGAUAUUAUGCCCAACCUCAGCAAAAAAAUAUGUUGUGUUCAAGCAAGAUAGUGAAGGCCAAACCUAAAAUUCAGAGUGAUGUUGGUUGGCUAUAGUUCCUGGCCUUCCUCAUUGGCUGGACAAUUCUGAUUAAGUCUAUAUAUUUCUUUACCUUCAAGGGAUACCUGCAACUAUGCACUAUAAUGAGUAGAGCUAUUUGUCUAUCUGCAAUCUAAUUAACUGGUUAUACCUUUCUUGAAUUGAAAGCACACAAUCGGCAGCCUUCAUAUCGGAUGGUGUAUUGGAAAUUUGUUCUUAUAAUAAAGAGAUGAAGUUAGGUGCUUCUCUGAAGUGUAUCCAUGAGUGAUUCAUUGCAAUCAUCUCUAUAUAUUUUCUUCAGCCUACAAUUCUGAUCAAGAGUUAGGAUGGUCCUUCUACUGAACAUUACAGUUCUCCUAUUUUAGAACAGAUGUGGUGUGCGAUGGUUCAGUAUAUAAGAAUGUGAGCUAAAUUGGUGCUCUCAAGUCUAGCACCAAGAGAGUGGCAUGCUGACCAUGGAGGUUCUCAUUCCUUUUUCAAUCCUGAUUCGGGAUAUGAAUCAAGUCCUCCAAUUCUUCUUACUUUCUAAUUGAUUCUAGCAUUCUCGAGGUCACCGAUAAUUGCUGGAUUAUUAGAGUUACUUUGCAUUGGGAAAUCCAUGACAAAGAUAUCCUUUAAUUCUAGAAUGUAAACGAAACAAGAGAAACUGCUACAGUGAUUUAGUAAGUGUGUUAAUCAUUGACUCUAAUCCCCAUCCUUUCAUGCAUUUGUGUUUCUAGGACGUUUUUGGCCUGUUCGUUAGCUUAUGCACUGUUCGUGGUACUCAAAAAUGCUCAGAAGCCGUAAUUAAAGUUCUUUAUGCAAAGAAUUUACAUAUGUGGGAAAAGUCAAGAUUAUUUUCUUCCAGUUCUCUGUGUGUGGAUGGUAUGCGUGCUUAUCAGUAGCAAAAAGAACAAAACCUGAAUAAAAAAUACCCACCACGUAUAGCUUUUCCAUUGCACAAUAGUGAGCAAACACAGUUAACUUUGUGGCACCACUUUAUCUUUUCUUGCACAAUGAGUUAACUUUGUGGCACCACUUCAUCUUUUUGGCCUAAUAUAGAUAUUUGUCACACAUAUUCUGGUUCCUCAGGUGAGAUUUCCGAGCAGUUUAUCUUCUUAUUUUUCAUUUUUGUUGUUGGCUCUAAGAGAGGAAUAAUUAUGCCUUCCCCAAUAUCAAUUGAGUAUUAUUUAUUUUUUUGCUCAUUUUAUGCUUCCUUUAUAUAAAUAAACAUUCCUAUAUAUAAGUAAACAUUUUAUAAUGAAAAAGGAUUACUUUUCAUAGGUGUCCAUCCAAGUUAUAUACGUGUUCUUUUCCUUUGAUGCUUAUUGACCUGUUUUUUGCGCACUGAAAUAGUGUUUUUGGUGUCAAGUUCCAAUGCUUCCAGGCUUUAUGAUUCAUGCUAAUAUUUCUCAAUAUGUUUUUGAAUUACCUCACCAUACUGUGUUUAUUCUGGAACUUGUAGGUUAUUUUCAUGACAAAGCGCUAGACGUUAACGGCCUACAGUCUGCUAUGACAUAACACACAAGAAGAUGAAGAGUUGUGCCUUCCCGACACCGUUUAGUUCUUCCUUUGAAUGUACAACAUCCGGGCCAAUACAGUGAACUGCGUCCAUAAAUCCUUAGGCUCUGAUCUAGCACUACAGUGAAUAAAUACUCCAUAGACCAUGGCACCCAAAGCAGCGGAGAAAAGUUGCACUGCUCACCGUUAUGCACACCGGCAGUGUAUCAAAGCUGUUGCAAGAUCUGCAGCAUUUCUGCACCUAGCAAAGAAAGCGCCAGAUAAUGGGGUGACCAGCGUCCCUCCUAGCUUCUCCCCUUCGCUUGCCGAACAAAAAGGGGAAAAGGCCCAUGGAAGGACAGAGUUCACAUCACAUCCCAGCACAGCUAGGAGGCAAGGUAGGCCUCCAGUGGCCCGAUUUCUGCCAGAUAUCCAGCUACACCACCUCUUCAAGAGAGGUAUCACCCAACAUCCUCACGACCUGGUAGAGAUACCAUCAGCAUUUCAGCAGCACAUCCUUAACAGAAUGGAGGGGCACGAUCUACAUCGACUGUGGGUGGUCUAAUUUUGCUGAAAAAUCAUAGCUACAAUGACAGUCUGUCGGCAACAAUGGUGGGGAAAAGAGAUCAGCCACAUUUUAUAAGCCGCUUCAUGGAAUCAGUAGAAUCAGUAGAGCGUUAGUAUAUUAGCCAUCACCGAGCUAUUCGUCUUUUUUUCGCUUUUGCUCACUGGGUCACACUAUUUUGCUGAAUCACCUGUUUUCCGGCAUGCUGUUUCUUAAUUGUUUUAAUUAUAUAUCGUUGACUGUAUACUAAGAUCCUUCAGUAUGUUGAUCAGGCUGUCUUGGCCUACUAUGUUAAUUAUAUGGAUUAC